rnacentral:rRNA from 1 species
UACGAACUGUGCGAACGUUAUUCGGAAUCACUGGGCUUACAGGGUGCGUAGGCGGUCUGUUAAGUAGGGUGUGAAAGCCCCCGGCUCAACCGGGGAAUGGCGCCCUAAACUGGCGGACUGGAGUGAGAUAGGGGUGUGCGGAACUUCCGGUGGAGCGGUGAAAUGUGUUGAUAUCGGAAGGAACGCCGGUGGCGAAAGCGGCACACUGGAUCUCAACUGACGCUGAGGCACGAAAGCCAGGGGAGCGAACGGG